rnacentral:rRNA from 1 species
GUCUACGGUCAUAUUUUCCUCAAACAAGGCCAGCCUCAUUUAAUCGGGAAGCUAAACAGGAUCGGACCUGUUUCGUACUUGCAUGGGAGCCUGCUUGGCAAUACUGGGUACUGUAGGCA